rnacentral:rRNA from 1 species
AACGAACGCUGGCGGCAUGCCUAACACAUGCAAGUCGAACGGUGGCUUCGGCCACAGUGGCGCACGGGUGAGUAACACGUGGGAACCUGCCUUCUGGUUCGGGAUAACGUCUGGAAACGGACGCUAACACCGGAUGUGUCCUUCGGGAGAAAGUUUACGCCAGGAGAGGGCCCGCGUCCGAUUAGGUAGUUGGUGAGGUAACGGCUCACCAAGCCGACGAUCGGUAGCUGGUCUGAGAGGAUGAUCAGCCACACUGGGACUGAGACACGGCCCAGACUCCUACGGGAGGCAGCAGUGGGGAAUAUUGGACAAUGGGCGCAAGCCUGAUCCAGCAAUGCCGCGUGAGUGAUGAAGGCCUUAGGGUUGUAAAGCUCUUUCGCACGCGACGAUGAUGACGGUAGCGUGAGAAGAAGCCCCGGCUGACUUCGUGCCAGCAGCCGCGGUAAU